rnacentral:rRNA from 3 species
UUAAAUUGAAGAGUUUGAUCAUGGCUCAGAUUGAACGCUGGCGGCAGGCCUAACACAUGCAAGUCGAACGGUAACAGGAAGCAGCUUGCUGCUUUGCUGACGAGUGGCGGACGGGUGAGUAAUGUCUGGGAAACUGCCUGAUGGAGGGGGAUAACUACUGGAAACGGUGGCUAAUACCGCAUAACGUCGCAAGACCAAAGAGGGGGACCUUCGGGCCUCUUGCCAUCAGAUGUGCCCAGAUGGGAUUAGCUUGUUGGUGAGGUAACGGCUCACCAAGGCGACGAUCCCUAGCUGGUCUGAGAGGAUGACCAGCCACACUGGAACUGAGACACGGUCCAGACUCCUACGGGAGGCAGCAGUGGGGAAUAUUGCACAAUGGGCGCAAGCCUGAUGCAGCCAUGCCGCGUGUAUGAAGAAGGCCUUCGGGUUGUAAAGUACUUUCAGCGGGGAGGAAGGUGUUGUGGUUAAUAACCGCAGCAAUUGACGUUACCCGCAGAAGAAGCACCGGCUAACUCCGUGCCAGCAGCCGCGGUAAUACGGAGGGUGCAAGCGUUAAUCGGAAUUACUGGGCGUAAAGCGCACGCAGGCGGUCUGUCAAGUCGGAUGUGAAAUCCCCGGGCUCAACCUGGGAACUGCAUUCGAAACUGGCAGGCUUGAGUCUUGUAGAGGGGGGUAGAAUUCCAGGUGUAGCGGUGAAAUGCGUAGAGAUCUGGAGGAAUACCGGUGGCGAAGGCGGCCCCCUGGACAAAGACUGACGCUCAGGUGCGAAAGCGUGGGGAGCAAACAGGAUUAGAUACCCUGGUAGUCCACGCCGUAAACGAUGUCUACUUGGAGGUUGUGCCCUUGAGGCGUGGCUUCCGGAGCUAACGCGUUAAGUAGACCGCCUGGGGAGUACGGCCGCAAGGUUAAAACUCAAAUGAAUUGACGGGGGCCCGCACAAGCGGUGGAGCAUGUGGUUUAAUUCGAUGCAACGCGAAGAACCUUACCUGGUCUUGACAUCCACAGAAGAAUCCAGAGAUGGAUUUGUGCCUUCGGGAACUGUGAGACAGGUGCUGCAUGGCUGUCGUCAGCUCGUGUUGUGAAAUGUUGGGUUAAGUCCCGCAACGAGCGCAACCCUUAUCCUUUGUUGCCAGCGAUUAGGUCGGGAACUCAAAGGAGACUGCCAGUGAUAAACUGGAGGAAGGUGGGGAUGACGUCAAGUCAUCAUGGCCCUUACGACCAGGGCUACACACGUGCUACAAUGGCGCAUACAAAGAGAAGCGACCUCGCGAGAGCAAGCGGACCUCAUAAAGUGCGUCGUAGUCCGGAUUGGAGUCUGCAACUCGACUCCAUGAAGUCGGAAUCGCUAGUAAUCGUGGAUCAGAAUGCCACGGUGAAUACGUUCCCGGGCCUUGUACACACCGCCCGUCACACCAUGGGAGUGGGUUGCAAAAGAAGUAGGUAGCUUAACCUUCGGGAGGGCGCUUACCACUUUGUGAUUCAUGACUGGGGUGAAGUCGUAACAAGGUAACCGUAGGGGAACCUGCGGUUGGAUCACCUCCUUACCUUAAAGAA